UUUGGAAAAUAAAAAGGAACUUUAUUUUUCUACCCCGAACCUCGUCUCUAGAAUUCUUUUAAAAUUCUACAAACAAAUUGGGGGCUCGUGUCCGGGAUUCAAUCUCUUGCUGGGCUCUAGGGGGGUCUCCCUUGGGUGCACCCCUCUCCGAAUUUGAGAGGAGGGGGAACUACCUAGAGAACUGCGGAGCUCUUGGAAGCCCGUAAAAAUUGUGCGAUAGACGAGUAGUAGGGGGAGUUGAAUAAAGGGAAAGAGGUUGAAUAAAGAGGAAAAGACGGCUUGGAGAUCGACCGGGAAACAUCUGUGCACAGAACCCUGAAAAAGCGGGCUAUUUAAUACAGACUCCUCCAUUGAGCUUCAAAGUACAUUCCAUUGAAGUGGGAGACCAGGUGUGGAUAAAGACUUGGAAGGACGAUUCCCUAAAGCCAAAGUGGGAUGGACCAUUCCUGGUGUUGCUGACCACAGACACUGCCAUCCGGACGAAAGAAAAAGGCUGGACCCGUUACACCAGAGCGAAGAGAGCCAACUUGGAGGAGUCGGAAACAUGGAAAGCCUUUCAAAAAGAACCAUUGAAACUGGUGUUUAAAAAAAAAAAAAAAAAAAAAAACAGUGACUUAUAUCCUUUUGAAUAUAACCCUAGUGGCGGUUGGGGGAGAAUUAUGGAUUGAACCGCCUAGAAUCUUUGAACCUGAUGGAACUUGGACACAAAUUUGGUGUUAUAAUGACAAGGAGAGUGAGUGUUUUCCCAUGAAUUGGAUCUUUGAACCCAAAAUUUGGUGGUAUGAAUCUAAGUUACAACCAAACUGGCAACAAGUAGGUCAGGAGGAAAGUUGGAUAGUGGUAACACAAAAGAGAGGGGGUAAGUGUCAAACCACUCUAUAUUUGCAAAUAAACCGAGAGACUGUAGGAAGAUAUACUUGUACAAUGUGGGAGGAGAAAGACUAUUUAAACACAAGCUCUUUAGUGGUCUCCCCAAGUUCUUUCGAAUUUCCUCCUAUCCCCUCGUGGAUGCUGACUGCUUCAGCUAUUAGGAGACGCUCCCUGCGGAGAAAGAAUAGAGCCGUUGGUAUGGUGAUCUGUUCGAAAAGUGGGGGACAUCGAAAGGGAGAGUUCCAAUACUGGAAAACUGCCCAAUAUGGAUGUAAUCUGACUCUGGAGGUAACACCAAGGCAAACUCAGAGAGAUCCAGCUUGGACUUGUAAAAAUCAAAGUAGAGAGUGGAUGAGUGGAAUCACCCAGAUGUGUGAAAAUGCAACCAGGGGAGACUCAAGGUGCUAUUGGAUAGGGAAGGCCUUGUGGUUCAGUGGUUGUGGCACGGAAGGGGAAGGCACUGAGAAUCUCCACUUUCUAUGUGAUAAUACUAGGAGUCAGUAUUUACAACCAGGAAGGGGUUGUGUAAAGUAUUGUGGGAACCUGCUCGGAGUCAUCAACCAGCCUAUCCCUUAAACCCCCAUGGAAAAAGAAAGAACAGAGCAUUACUUGCCAUAACCCAGGCCUACUCACAAGGUAUAAUGUGACCCUGUGGGUUGGACUGGGAAUUAUUAGUGGACAACCUGGGGCAGCAUUACUAAAAUAUCUUAAUCAUACGGUGGUCAAGAAGAAGAAGAAAAGAAGAAAAAUGGGAGCUUUCAUUAGAUGUAUGUAGAGCAAUGGAUAUGAUAGCCUUCCGAAAAUGUGGUUCACAAACCUGGACUGGCCUGUUAGAUGAAGGAGGGUUCCUAGGGGACAUUUUCAGAAACUGGAAGCAAGCCUUAUUUAUGGUGGGUGUAAUUUUUAUUGGAUUAAUGUUGUUGCCAUGUCUAAUCCCGGUAAUAAGAAACUUAGUAAUCACAACUGUGAAAAGUAUUAUGCAGGCCCAACAAACAGAGAAAACAAUGAUGGUACUAAAGGAAAUUGGUAACCAAAUACACCUGUUGGAAAGUAUGGACACUCUACACCCUAUGAAAAAUACUGAAACUGAGAAAGAAAGAUUGAAAGAAAUAAAAGAAAAUAUUAAACAAAUCA